rnacentral:rRNA from 1 species
UGGGGAAUAUUGGCACAAUGGGCGAAAGCCUGAAUGCAGCAACGCCGCAGUGCAGUGAUGAAAGGGCCCUUUCGGGGAUUGGCUUGAAAAUGGCAUCCUGUUCUUUUUUGGGGACGAUAAUGACGGUACCAAAGGAGGAAGCCACGGCUAACUACGUGCCAGCAGCCGCGGUAAUACGUAGGUGGCAAGCGUUGUCCGGAUUUACUGGGCGUAAAGGAUGCGUAGGCGGAUUUUUAAGUGAGAUGUGAAAUACCCGGGCUUAACUUGGGUGCUGCAUUUCAAACUGGGAAUCUAGAGUGCGGGAGAGGAGAAUGGAAUUCCUAGUGUAGCGGGUGAAAAUGCGUAGAGAUUUAGGAAGAACACCAGUGGCGAAAGGCGAUUCUCUGGGACCGUAACUGACGCUGAGGCAUGAAAAGCGU